GCAGCCGAGCGGUAUUUCUUCUUCGGAAGAGAGAGAGCGGCGUACGGGUGCGUAACACGUGUGCAACCUACCUUUAUCUGGGGAAUAGCCUUUCGAAAGGAAGAUUAAUACCCUAUAAUAUAUUGAAUGGCAUCAUUUGAUAUUGAAAACUCCGGUGGAUAGAGAUGGGCACGCGCAAGAUUAGAUAGUUGGUGAGGUAACGGCUCACCAAGUCAAUGAUCUUUAGGGGUCCUGAGAGGGAGAUCCCCCACACUGGUACUGAGACACGGACCAGACUCCUACGGGAGGCAGCAGUGAGGAAUAUUGGACAAUGGGUGAAAGCCUGAUCCAGCCAUCCCGCGUGAAGGAUGACGGUCCUAUGGAUUGUAAACUUCUUUUGUACAGGAAUAAACCUACUCUCGUGAGAGUAGCUGAAGGUACUGUACGAAUAAGCACCGGCUAACUCCGUGCCAGCAGCCGCGGUAAUACGGAGGGUGCAAGCGUUAUCCGGAUUUAUUGGGUUUAAAGGGUCCGUAGGCGGACCCGUAAGUCAGUGGUGAAAUCUCAUAGCUCAACUAUGAAACUGCCAUUGAUACUGCGGGUCUUGAGUAAAUUUGAAGUGGCUGGAAUAAGUAGUGUAGCGGUGAAAUGCAUAGAUAUUACUUAGAACACCAAUUGCGAAAGCAGGUCACUAAGAUUUAACUGAC
rnacentral:rRNA from 1 species